UCCGUAGGUGAACCUGCGGAGGGAUCAUUACAGAGUUGCAAAACUCCCCAAACCAUUGUGAACCUUACCUUCUACCGUUGCUUCGGCGGGCGGGCCACAGCGCCCCCCGGGCCCCCUCGGGGGCGCCCGCCGGAGGAUAACCAAACUCUUGAUAUUCAUGGCCUCUCUGAGUCUUCUGUACUGAAUAAGUCAAAACUUUCAACAACGGAUCUCUUGGUUCUGGCAUCGAUGAAGAACGCAGCGAAAUGCGAUAAGUAAUGUGAAUUGCAGAAUUCAGUGAAUCAUCGAAUCUUUGAACGCACAUUGCGCCCGCCAGUAUUCUGGCGGGCAUGCCUGUUCGAGCGUCAUUUCAACCAUCAAGCCCCCGGCUUGUGUUGGGGACCUGCGGCUGCCCGCAGGCCCUGAAAACCAGUGGCGGGCUCGCUGUCACACCGAGCGUAGUAGCAACAUCUCGCUCAGGGCGUGCUGCGGGUUCCGGCCGUUAAAAGCCUUUUACACCCAAGGUUGACCUCGGAUCAGGUAGGAAGACCCGCUGAACUUAAGCAUAUCAAUAAGCGGAGGA
rnacentral:rRNA from 1 species